rnacentral:rRNA from 1 species
AGUGAACGCUGGCGGUAGGCCUAACACAUGCAAGUCGAACGGCAGCACAGGAGAGCUUGCUCUCUGGGUGGCGAGUGGCGGACGGGUGGGGAAUACAUCGGAAUCUACUCUGUCGUGGGGGAUAACGUAGGGAAACUUACGCUAAUACCGCAUACGACCUACGGGUGAAAGUAGGGGACCUUCGGGCCUUGCGCGAUUGAAUGAGCCGAUGUCGGAUUAGCUAGUUGGCGGGGUAAAGGCCCACCAAGGCGACGAUCCGUAGCUGGUCUGAGAGGAUGAUCAGCCACACCGGAACUGAGACACGGUCCAGACUCCUACGGGAGGCAGCAGUGGGGAAUAUUGGACAAUGGGCGCAAGCCUGAUCCAGCCAUACCGCGUGGGUGAAGAAGGCCUUCGGGUUGUAAAGCCCUUUUGUUGGGAAAGAAAUCCAGCUGGCUAAUACCCGGUUGGGAUGACGGUACCCAAAGAAUAAGCACCGGCUAACUUCGUGCCAGCAGCCGCCGUAA